rnacentral:rRNA from 1 species
AGUGAACGCUGGCGGCGUGCUUAACACAUGCAUGUCGAACGAGAACGGGCUAUAGCUUGCUAUAGUUGUCAGCUAAGCGGCGCACGGGUGAGUAAUGUAUAGGUAAUAUGCCUCUUACUAAGGGAUAACAAAUGGAAACGUUUGCUAAUACCUUAUACUCCUUAUUAACAGAAGUUAAUAAGGGAAAGAUUUAUUGGUAAGAGAUUAGCCUGUAUUGUAUCAGUUAGUUGGUGGGGUAAUGUCUUACCAAGACUAUGACACAUAACUGGUUUGAGAGGAUGAUCAGUCACACUGAAACUGAGACACGGUCCAGACUACUACGGGAGGCAGCAGUGGAGAAUAUUGCACAAUGGACGAAAGUCUGGUGCAGCAACGCCGCGUGGAGGAUGACACAUUUCGGUGCGUAAACUCCUUUUAUAUGAGAAGAUAAUGACGGUAUUAUAUGAAUAAGCACCGGCUAACUCCGUGCCAGCAGCCGCGGUAA